AGAGUCGUUCAAAAACGAACCGAUUCCUUCGCUCCCGUCGCUAUGGCUUUGUUCUGAAGCCCACACGGUGUGUAACUGGGUUCUUCAGUGCUGUAGUGAGCAGUCUGGGACGCAGACAUGGUGAAGUGUGAGGAUUUGCGCAGCGGCUUUAUCUGGCUCAGUGUUGGCGUGUUGAACCGACUCAGUGCUCAGACGCUCCUCUCACGGAGAGGAGGAUGAUGAUGACGGUGUGUGUACACGGAGUUACACCGAGAGUCCGCGGGUGACGGAGCUCCGGGUUUCCUCCUCCACCGCCUCGGAGUUACAGAGCAGAACCAUGGACUUAAAAGAAUCUGGAAGAACCUAUAUCCUAAAUGAGUAAUGUGAGCUAGACUCCGAAUCCACCGUGACCCCUGACCUGGAUAAAGCACUUUACUGAAGAUGAAUGGAUGACGAAAUAAUGCAAAGAAAUACUCUUCUCCAUUUGUGAUUCAGCAGCUUGAGUGUGCACGAGUGGCUCUGCUUCCCAGAGUGCAGUGGGGCUUCGGAGCUUCUCUGGAAACGAGAGAGAAAAGAAACGAAAGGCCUCGAAGACACUUGGAGGAUCUUUACAAAGAACAUCAGUGUCUGCAUGAUAUAUGUGGACAUCUAUUUUUCCACAUCAAACCUGGACAGACAGAUUUACGGAAAGCAGGAGAUCGUGUUCCUGAAAUACCUGCCAAGUUAGCCUCAUAAACGCAAGCAGUAACAUCAGGAGUUCUUCAGCAGCAUGCUUUUGAUUGCCGUGCAUGAGACGGCUGAAGCACUGGAACAGAUGUGAAGGGAGAAAACUAGGACGCGUCUCAUUUCUGUUGAAGGUAGAAGAGGACUGAGUAGGAUGACGGUGCAGGAUGGCAGAGGAGAAACGCGACUCGGUUUGGUGUGAUCUUCAGACGGGGUUUUGAACUGCUGAACGCUCUGACACCGUCUCAGCGAUUACUUCACUGCUUUCAACAUGGAGUCCAGG